rnacentral:tRNA from 1 species
GGGCUCGUGAGGUAGUCUGGAUAUCCUUCCGGCCUUCGGAGCCGGAUACCGGGGUUCGAAUCCCCGCGAGUCCG